GACGAACGCUGGCGGCGUGCUUAACACAUGCAAGUCGAACGGAAAGGCCCUGCUUUUUGGGGGUGCUCGAGUGGCGAACGUGUGAGUAACACGUGAGUAACCUGCCCUUGACUUUGGUAUAACUUCAGGAAACUGGGUCUAAUACCGGAUAGGAGCUCCUGCUGCAUGGUGGGGUUGGGAAAGUUUCGGCGGUUGGGGAUGGACUCGCGGCUUAUCAGCUUGUUGGUGGGGUAGUGGCUUACCAAGGCUUUGACGGGUAGCCGGCCUGAGAGGGUGACCGGCCACAUUGGGACUGGGAUACGGCCCAGACUCCUACGGGAGGCAGCAGUGGGGAAUAUUGCACAAGGGGCGGAAGCCUGAGGAAGCAACGCCGCGUGCGGGAUGACGGCCUUCGGGUUGAAAACCGCUUUCGCAUGUGACGAAGCGUGAGUGACGGUAAUGGGGAAAGAAGCACCGGCUAACUACGU
rnacentral:rRNA from 1 species